rnacentral:rRNA from 1 species
AAUCGCGGAUCAGCACGCCGCGGUGAAUACGUUCCCGGGCCUUGUACACACCGCCCGUCACACCAUGGGAGUUGGCUUUACCCGAAGACGGUGCGUUAACCCGCAAGGGAGACAGCCGGCCACGGUAAGGUCAGCGACUGGGGUGAAGUCGUAACAAGGUAGCCGUAGGGGAACCUGCGGCUGGAUCACCUCCUUU